GCGGGGAGAAGGAAGAUGAGUGCACAGACGAAGACUUGCCAUCGGAGCCAGUAGUGAUAGUAGUCGUCUGGGUCUGAGUUCUGCAGCAGCAUCCUUCCCCAUUAUAUUUCCGACCCUCUCUCUCUCCUCCCUCCCUCCUAUCUCAGGCCUUGGCCGGGGGACGAUGAUUGUCCUUGUCGAGGAGGCGGUAAUUGUGAUGAUUGAGCAGUUGACUACUCAUGGGGCGUGGAAGGCCUUGCUCCUUUUGUUCCGGGAGGAAUAGCCUCCCUUGACACUGCGGCAGCGGGUGGUUGGAGGUUCAAUUCAGCACUUAAUAUUGAUUUUAACAUAUUUAAAUCAUUUGAUAACAAAAAAUUAAAUAUUUAAAUUAAUUAAACGACACUGAAUUUUCAAACAAAACUUAUUCUAAAAAUGAAUUCGUAUAGUUAGUACCAUUUUCUGAAUUUAAGUUGUGAAAUUUGACUUGAUAAAUGUGAAACUAUAUUUUGUUCACAAAAUAUUCGAGUGUAAAUUUGGUUUGGAUUUAGUCUAAACUUAUUUAUUAUUUUUAAUUUUUUAAAUAUAAUUACUAUAACCAUUAAGUUUCUGCUAAUUUACUAUAACCAUCAUAGAAUCACAAUAUUAAAACUGUACACGAACCAAUAACAGUUUAUUAAAAUAUAUACAAACUAAUAAUUUUUUAAUAAUAAUAUAUCCAAUUAGUUUAAAAGUACAUGAAAAAUAGUAAUAAAAUAUAUGAUUAAUUCUUCUCACUGACAGUUAACACUAUCACCGUUGGAUUAUGAUAUUUGUGCAAAAAUUGAAAUAUACAUUUUAAUUUUUACACACAUAAUGAAUCCAACGGUGACUGUGUAUAACUUUCAGUGUAUAUAAGAUUUACUCUAAAAUAUAAUCAACAAUAAAUACAUCUUCAAAUGCCCUCAAUUUGCUCCUAGCAAGAAUUGUAUUCGAAUCUUUUGACAUAAGUAUGUAUACUUAAUGGCCUUAGCUGGAUUGUGAUUUUCAUAGAAAAUUUUUAUGUUUUUCAUAAACAAAUUUUUCAAUCAUCUUUUUACUUCACAUACAUCAAAUCGUUACAGUAUAUUUUUUACAAAACUCAUAAAAUUAAUAUUUUAUAUAUAUAUAAAUAUAUUUUGACAUAUAACUCAUGAGUACAAAAUAUUGGUAUUAGAUAUUUAGUUAUAUAAUUAUAUCUAUAUAUGUAUCAAAAUAUGAAUAUUAUAUAUUAUAUAUAUAUAUAUAUAUAGAUGUAAAUUAAAAGGUUGGGUCUAUAUCAUUUAAACCCACUAAGAUCCAAACUCAAUUAGAUCUAAUAUUUAGAUUCAAACUCAAUCUAACUCAAAUUAAGGUUAGGUUCAUCUUGGGUUAACCCGACCCAUUAAUAAUUUAAUAGUCCAAACGUGCAUACAUACCCGACCCGACCUCCCCCUUCUCCUCCACACCCAACAAAAAAAUUGAAUAAAUGAAAACAAUUAAAAAUGCUGGUACUGCUUACAGGAGGACUGAAGUGCGACGUGGAAGUACCACGUGUUGAGAAAGGAUAGGCGGGAGGAGGGCGCAGCAAUUAGGGCUGGGUCUGGGCAGCAGCGGCCACUCGUCGGCGAAUCCCCAUCC
rnacentral:lncRNA from 1 species